GACUAAGUUAAAUACUGUACCUCUAGUAGGAAAAACUUUCGAGUUCGUUUCGUUGCGUAUUCAAAGUGUCAUCGAAAAAUUUUGUAUGAAAAAUUAAACAGCGCCCCCUAGGGCGGCUAUAAUAUAGGGGGCGCUGUUUAAUUUUUCAUACAAAAUUUUUCGAUGACACUUUGAAUACGCAACGAAACGAACUCGAAAGUUUUUCCUACUAGAGUUACUGUUGUGCCAGACAUAUCUUAUAGAUUUUAAUCCUAUUUCAUCAUUUCAUUAUUAUAAUUGUUUAUUCUUCACUUAAAGACUACAAUUCGAUAUUUUGUUCAUUUCUAGAACUCAAGUGUUGUAUAGAAAUCAUAAAAGUCUAAUCCAUCCAUCUCUAUUCUCUUACCUUGUCUUUCAAAAAUGAACUUUGAGCUUAUAAUAAUAGGGUUCAUUUUCCUGUGUUCUAUUUCAAAUCUUUGAUUAUAAGUUCAAUUUUGCAAUCUACUAAAGUUAAUAUGCAAAAAUGAACUUUGAAUACAUUACGCUGGGAUUCAGUUUUGUUUACUAGACCAAACGGGCACAUACGAAGCGCCUUAGGAACGUGAAAAGUGUUGCCGUGGCACUAUACUAUAGCCGCUAUAACCAUAGUAUUAAAAUAUAUUUUUAGAAAGAUU